CUUCCAUGUAGAGGGUGGAGAGCCUUCUAAUAAGGAUAAAGGCAAGACCAAAGCUUGAGAAGCUUUGAUUAAAGCUUGUUAAAGCUUGUUUUGGAAGGUUGGAGAUUGUGCUUGCUGCUUAAACACCUGAAGAGUAGCAUCAGAGCUGAAGAAAUCUUUUGGUAGUUGAUUAGUAUUUUAUGUAACUAAAAAUUUUGGCAUGUAUAACGAUUACAUUUUUGGAGACUGUAUUAUUUAAUUUAUACCUUAAACAUGUUAUUGUAAAUUAUUUUGGUGUAUAUAUAUUGGGAGAUAAA